CCCCCCUUUAAGUUAUCAAAUCCUUCUCAACAUAGAUUCUUCCCACCCCUUCAUUUCACAAGUGUUUUUUUUUUUUUUUCUUGGGGAGGGGAUGGUGAAAAGUGGGAGUCUCCCAGAUCUCUCACUGAGUGGUUUAUUUUAAGCAUUUUCAAUGAUUGUCCCGACUGCCAAGUAUUUUCCAGCAGCAGGGGAGGGUGGCGUGGAGGCAGGGCACUGGCAGCAGGGAGCUGAUACGAUAAUAAAUAGACAGAACACGUGAAAGGCGAGGCUCAAAACAAACGUGUCCUGCUUGCUGCAGGGAGUAGUUUAUGCCUCGUAAGUUCAACUUCAUGUCUACGGAUAGUGAUCGUUAAUUGCUGCAGUCAAUCAAUACGUGUGCACAUCAUAGCACUCUGGUUAAAGGUGACUAGGAACAGGCAAUUGUUCAACCAUGACUUCCUGUUUCACAGAGGUAUCAAUCUGAGGUAACACAAAGGCCUAAUGCUUAAUCAUCACAAUGUGUAAUACCAAGGAAUAUAGUUGUGAUGUGCUCCGAAAGGUUGUUGAGCUUCACAAAAUUGAAAGUGACUAUUAGAUAAUAACAAAAGCAUUGAAAAUGCCAAUUUCCACCAUCAGGACAAUAAUUCAGAAGUUAGUCAACUUGAAAUGUUAUGAAUCAACCUGGAAAAGGAUGCGUGUCUAUAUUGUCUCAACGCACUGUGAAGAGUGUGGUUCGAGUGGCCAAAAUAUCUCCAAAGAUCACAGCUGGAGAAUUGCAGAAGUUAGUUGCGUCUUGGGGUCAGUCUCCAAAACUACAAUUCAAUGUCUCCUACAUCACCAAAAGUUGUUUGGAAGGGUUUCAAGAAAAGCGUCUUCAGUUUGCCAGACACUACUGGAACUUCAAUUUGGUUUGGGCUCCAUGGUCCAGAUGAUACCAAAAUAGAGCCGUUUGGCUCACACAGAUAGCCAUAUGGAAAAGUACCUCAUAAAAAUAUGGUGGUGGCUCUUUAAUGUUUUAGUGCUGUUUUUCUGUCAGAGGACCUGGACGUUUUGUUAGGAUACAUGGCAUUGUGGAUUCUAUCAAAUAUCAACAGAUAUUAAAUGAACACCUGACUGCCUCUGCCAGAAAGUUUAAAAUAGGGCUUAUAUGGAUUUGUUUCAGCAUAACCAUGAUCCAAAACAUGCAUGAUAAUCAACACAAAAAUGGUUUUACUAACCACAAAAUCAAGGUCCCGCCAUGGCCAUUCCAGUCCCCCGACUUGAACCCAAUAAAAAACCUGUGGGGUGAACUAAAAAGGACAGUUGACCUCGAAAUUUGAAGGAUCUGGAGAGAUUCUGUAUGGAGGAAUGGUCUCUGAUCCCUUGCCAUGUAUUCUCCAACCUUAUCAGGCAUUAUAGGAGAAGACCCAGAGCUGUUAUCUUGGCAAAGGGAGUUGGCACAGAAGUAUUGUCUAAAAGGGUGCCAAUUGUGACGGCACACUUUUUUUUUUAUAAACCUGUGUUUGCUAGUGUUUGAUAUCUGCAAGAGUAUUGAUCAAAAGGUUAAAUAAAGAUUAUUUUAACAGCC